rnacentral:lncRNA from 1 species
AGGUUGAGAGUGAUUCACAUAGAGAGGGAAGGAGAGGGAUUUAUAAAGGGGAUCUAAAGCUCCGACAAACUCUAGAGUCUCGAUCCUAAUCGAGUUCGAAAAAGAAAAACGAACUCCAUCUGGAGUCCUCUUCUGCCUCACGUGCCCAGCACGUGUGGUUCUAUUUUAUUUUUCUUCAUUUAUUUUGCUUUAAGAUUCAUGCAUGAAAAAUUUAAGGAUUCGGAUCCUUACACAUACUAUACCCAUUUAAAAUUUAAAAAUAAAAAAGUA